GCCAAGUGGGUGCUACAUUAGUUAUUAUUAUUGUUAACUAACAAAGCAAGUGAACAAUUCUAUUACUAUAUAAGAUAAAGUACCUGACUAGUAUAAUGGAUUAAGGAAACUAAGAAGGAGAUGUGCCUAACCUCAUACUGUUCCCAACCUGAACCCUGCCAGGAUUACAGCAUUGGCAACCACUGUCAUACUAUCACUGCAGUGAUGCCCCCAGAAGUACCCGCUUAUUGAAAGUCUCCAUUUUCUUUCAUGAAUUCUGCUGAUUUAAAGGAUGUGUUCCACUUCCUUGUUGGACGGGUUGCAGCCACUCGAGCAUCUUGCCCUGUCAAACCUGUGAAGUACUUACAGCCAAUCACCUUCUAAUCCUGCUGAUGAAGAGCUUCCUGCACCGUGUUACAACGUUUUCUCUCAAUCUUAGUAAUGGCCAGUGACUGACUUAACAUUCUUAACAGUUUUGAUUUUCAGUUCAGGCUUUCACUAUGUUCACAUGGGAUGCCACCAACAUCCUGUAUUUUGUAACGUAGUUGUGACACUCAGCAAAACGGUAAGACCCAAACCUGAUUAGGGUUGCAGUAGUAAAUCAAUAUGCAUGACAAUAAAUCACAAUUCCCUCAUGACUUUUUAGUACAGUUUCAAAUUUUCAAUUGUGCCACAUAUGUCUGUAGUGGUAGGGUGUUUUAACAUGUUAGCCAUUGGGGAUGCAAUGAGAAGUCAAGCAAAUUUUGCUUGACCUCCAAUUGCGCAACAAAACUUUUGCGAGGUAGGCAUAGUUCAGCAGGAAAUCAAUGUGGAACAAACUUGUAUAGGGAUUGCCACUCACUGGGCCACUCACACACACUCCCAGUCUCAUACUGUGACCAGUAUAGAGUUGUCAAUUAAACUAAAUGUUCCAUCUUUGAAGAUGUUGAAAGAAGCCCACACAGACAUAUGGCCAAUGUUCAAAAUUUGCAUGGAUGAAGGAUUCAGGCACAUGAUAGUGGAUUCAUGAAACAACACCAAUAACCACGGAACUAUCCCUAAGUAUUGCAAUGUACAAAAAAAAAAAAAUCAGUCAAAAUCCUGACACAUGGUUUCUAAAACAUUCUGGGAAAAUGUCUAGAAUUUCCAUUUGUUUGAUGUUUACUAAAAGCUCCACCUCAGUCACAGGAAUUCACUCACGUUGCCUGCUCAUAGAAUACACUACUCAAGCAAAAAGCAAAUGCCUCUUUAAUGUACAUUUUCUAAUUCUACUUUAGUGUGGCUGCAGAAGAUCAUGGUGUUUAAUCGACUUUAAUCCUGAUUUAGAUUAUGUUGUCUGACGAUAAAUUAAUUUUUCAUUCUCUGCAAGCUGUUACUAUAUAAAAAAAAAAAUCAAUGCUUGCCAUACAGGAUAACUUGAGCGAAGAGAACACUGAUCAAAUGCAUCAGAAAAUGCUUAGUGUGUAGUGUGUAGAUUUGACUUAUGUGUUGAAAUGCAAACCAAUAAAGAUAUUUUUUUUACUAAAUAUCUUAA